AUGAAAGUAGGUUUUGGGUAUCAAAAAAAAAAAAGAUCUACUCUCCACUAUAACACGGAAGACAGACUCAACUCGAAUAUGGCCAAGGCAGAUAUUGAGAUGGACAUUCAGAGACACGAGGACUCGGAGGGAGGAAGACGCGAUGAUGAAGGGCCGCUCAUCAAGUACUACCGGGCCAGAGAGGCUCUGCCGGGCCCCGUGCCGGCUCUGCAGCGGCUCCUCAGGAAGGAACCGUCCACCUGCGCCGCCAUUCAGUCGUCCAGUGGGAUCCUGAGUUUUGGGAUCGGGGUCGUAUUUGCCGCGUCAUUCGGGAUCAAUCUUAAUUUCCUGACUUUAUUCCGAGUUCCCAUCAUUACUGGGAUCAUGUUUGUCGUUGCUGGAAUCUUGUCGAAUCUUCUGUACAAACACCCCGAGCUUCUGCAGACUUGUUUCAUCGUUAACAUCGGGUGUCUGCUCAUGUCUGGGAUCGGAACCAUUCUCCUGAGUGUUGAUCUUCAUCCAGGUGAAGAUACCAUCCAGAACAAGAUGGAGGUUCUGGUGCUGUGUGUGACUCUGAUGGACAUGAUCAUCGCAGCGGUGCUCAUAUACUGGUUUUACAGAGAGAAGCGUGAUCAUAAGCAGUGACGGCGUGAUCUAACGUCAGGAUGAACGUUCAGUUCUCAGCUCAGAGUUUCUCAGAAGCAACAAGAAUAGAAUUAAAGAACUAAAGAAAGCAGAAGUAUCUUUAGUGAACAGCUCUCCUUCAUCAAGCUGAACACGCUCACGAUCCGCUGCAGGAGUCGAGAGCGAUGUGACCACAUGCUACACACGGAUGAUCUGGCUUGUUAGCGAAUGAAUAUAGAUUUAUUAUUGUAUUUUUAGUGUGAAUGAAGAAGUGAAGUGGUGAUGCUGCUUGCAGCUUUAUAUGUUAAUUGUGUUUUAUUACUCAUGAAGCUGGAUAUUUUCUCUUUACUGUACAUAUUUUUACAUUUAUGAUUUAUUUCUGUAUGUGACUUAUGAAGUUGAGUUAAUAAACUACAGAAUUCAAUACGAUUUUACUUGCA
ensembl:lncRNA